UACGUAGGGGGCAAGCGUUGUCCGGAAUCAUUGGGCGUAAAGCGCGUGUAGGCGGCUCGGUAAGUCUGCUGUGAAAGUCCAGGGCUCAACCCUGGGAUGCCGGUGGAUACUGUUGAGCUCGAGUCCGGAAGAGGCGAGUGGAAUUCCUGGUGUAGCGGUGAAAUGCGCAGAUAUCAGGAGGAACACCAAUGGCGAAGGCAGCUCGCUGGGACGUGACUGACGCUGAGACGCGAAAGCGUGGGGAGCAAACAGG
rnacentral:rRNA from 1 species